rnacentral:piRNA from 1 species
UGGAACAGCAGAUGUACAAUUGUGGGA